GCGGCGUGCUUAACACAUGCAAGUCGAACGGAAAGGUCUCUUCGGAGACACUCGAGUGGCGAACGGGUGAGUAACACGUGGGCAAUCUGCCCUGCACACCGGGAUAAGCCUGGGAAACUGGGUCUAAUACCGGAUAGGACCACUUGGCGCAUGCCUUGUGGUGGAAAGCUUUUGCGGUGUGGGAUGGGCCCGCGGCCUAUCAGCUUGUUGGUGGGGUGACGGCCUACCAAGGCGACGACGGGUAGCCGGCCUGAGAGGGUGUCCGGCCACACUGGGACUGAGAUACGGCCCAGACUCCUACGGGAGGCAGCAGUGGGGAAUAUUGCACAAUGGGCGCAAGCCUGAUGCAGCGACGCCGCGUGGGGGAUGACGGCCUUCGGGUUGUAAACCUCUUUCACCAUCGACGAAGGUCCGGGUUCUCUCGGAUUGACGGUAGGUGGAGAAGAAGCACCGUCCAAAUACGUGCCAGCAGCCGCGGUAAUACGUAGGGUGCGAGCGUUGUCCGGAAUUACUGGGCGUAAAGAGCUCGUAGGUGGUUUGUCGCGUUGUUCGUGAAAUCUCACGGCUUAACUGUGAGCGUGCGGGCGAUACGGGCAGACUAGAGUACUGCAGGGGAGACUGGAAUUCCUGGUGUAGCGGUGGAAUGCGCAGAUAUCAGGAGGAACACCGGUGGCGAAGGCGGGUCUCUGGGCAGUAACUGACGCUGAGGAGCGAAAGCGUGGGGAGCGAACAGGAUUAGAUACCCUGGUAGUCCACGCCGUAAACGGUGGGUACUAGGUGUGGGUUUCCUUCCUUGGGAUCCGUGCCGUAGCUAACGCAUUAAGUACCCCGCCUGGGGAGUACGGCCGCAAGGCUAAAACUCA
rnacentral:rRNA from 1 species